GAGCAACCAACCAGCUUCAUUAUGUUCCUUGGUUCUCCACAUGUGGUCAAAGGUAUUAUGUAUAGAGUCACUAAACUCCUUGUCUCUCACAAGCAGUGAAUUAGGAGUGUCAAAUGCAUUUAUUUUGCAUAACUCUCUAAACAGUUCACACCAACAACUAUCAGUGUUCUCCAUACUACUAGAAGUAGAGUCCUUAGCAUUGGGUCUAAGCAUAUUAAGCAGCCAACUCCAGAAACACCCAAACCAAUGAGAGAACUCCAUCCUUAACAUUCUGUCCCUCUAGAACCACUCCUGGUACAAAAAUCUGUAUUAGUCAUGGUUCUCUAGAGUGACAGAACUAAUAGGAUAGAUAUAAAGGAGAGUUUAUUAAGUAUUAACUCAAACAAUCACAAGGUCCCACAAUAGGUUGUCUGCAAGCUGAGGAGCAAGGAGAGCCAGGCUGCACUCAAUAUUAACUAUCACAUGGAACAAUACAGAAAGACAAAUUAUGGCACAAAGUACACAAGAUUCACUGGAGCCUAAGAUUAGUCUCAUAAAUUCUUUUUCCUAUUAAACAAUAGCUUGCAGAGGUGAUAAACAGUGACUUUUACCAUUUACUCAAUUGGUUUGCACAGAGAAAGAGACCAGAAACUUGGCUGGUAAGAAAUUCUUACACUUUUAAUGGCAUGCCAGGUUUCUGGGUGAUAUGGAGCCAAGUAACAUCACAAAAAAAAUCAUUCUUUUCUGUUUCAUGGAAGCAUAGACAAAAACCUCUCAGUUUUGCAAGAUGCAGCCCAACAGUCCAACAGGCUGCAUGGGGGAACCCAAUUAACAUGUUCCCUUCUGGCCAGAGAAAAAUCACGUGACAAAACACAGACACUAGUCACCCUGCUCAGCACUCAAUAUCAACCUUCCAAGGCUCAAACUUGCCUUCAUUGGUCCCUGACAUCCUUGAUUCAGUCAAAGUAGGGUAGGAUGACCUCCAACCAGAAGUUUCAACAGAUGGUCUGUGAGCAAGAUGGAAGAGCAGAUGGUCCCUGAGUUAGGACUGUUGAGUUUCCUUCAGGGCUCACCAAAUGUGACCAACCAGACACACUAGGAGAGCCUGCUGGACUUCUAUCAGCAAUUCCUUUGAGGAAUCCUGUCCAUGCUUACAAAUAUGCACAAUGAGGUAAAGAUGGACAAAAGGACUUCCAAACCAAAAUUCCAGACUAGAUUCUAAACCAGAAGAGUAUUCCUCCAAAUAGGCCCCAUAUUCUCCAUCUAACUGGGGAGAAAUCUCCCCAAACCAAGACUCUUUCUACAACCUAGGGAGAGUCAAACAGUCCCUGGGAUGGGCCUACAGAUAGGGCCUCUAGGGAGGCCAACAGAUGAGGAGAAGGAAGCAAGUGUUGCCAGAUCCUGGAAUACUCACCAAACCAGGUUACAAGAUGUCUUCCAGGAACUAUUUCUCCAUUGCAAUUAGAUGCAUGCACUAUGGGUUGACAGCACCCCAGCAGUAGAGAUAGUGCCAGGGGAAGCCCUUGGUCCAAGAGAACUAAGUAGCUGCUCGGGCUGGCCUCCGGAUCUGUUGCUAGUGAAGAGCUACCAAACUGUGGGAAAGUAGCCACAAGGGCUAUCCCAGAUGAGCUCCCAAAUUUGUAACUGCCCAAUGGGUCCUUCUUGCCCACUGCCCAGAUAGAGCAAGACAGGGAAUUUGCAAUAAAGACUUUAAUACAUGUAGAGAAAGCUAAAUGGAAAACUCGAGAUUUAUUGUUACUCAGAUCGGCCUCUCUGAAAAUUUGGAGGCUAGAGUUUUUCAAGGAUAGUUUGGUGGGCAGAGUCUAGGGAAUAGUGCUGCUGAUUGGUUGGGGAUGCAAAACAUAGCCAUGUGGAAAAUGGUCCUUGUUCACUGAGUUGGCUUCUGGGUGGUAGCCACAGAGGAGUUGCUGGUCUAGUUGGGGCCAUCUGGUCAUCAGAAAUGUGAAAGCCUGAAA
rnacentral:lncRNA from 1 species